rnacentral:lncRNA from 1 species
AUGUCCAUUUUUGGGAGGGAGUUGUGUAGGAGAGAUUGGUAUAGGGAAAACAAACCGGCAAACAAAGUAAAAGAGACAGCUUCAAUUAACAGAUGCAAAGCUUGGUUGGGCCUUCACAGAUACCGGACAAGGAAAGCACACCUGGAAGCUGCAAGAGAAUUCAGCAUUUCCAAAUGUGUUUUCAUUGUGAGUUGGAGCAAAAUGCAAAUCUUUUGCCAUAAUGAGGGAGAAUGAACAGAAGAGAGCUGAAUAACGUUACAGAGGGCUUAUGUGAACAACACAACUGGUCAAUAAGAUAUAAACAACGUUUAAUUGGGAAGAGUACGGUCAUAUAAGAACACAACAUAACACGUUUGGGAGCAGGUAGCUGGAUUGCAAAAUAUCCACUCAGCUAAACUGAUACCACAAGUGGCGAUCUGGACAAAGCCCACAGGCCCAUUUUGCGGGAUGAAUAUGGAGAACUUACUGUUAUUCUGCAGUGGGAAAUUAGACAAGAGUGGUCUGGGAAAGGAUCUGGACAAAAGUGCUGUAAAACAGAACUAAGAGGCAUAAGUAGUCUUUGGAAUAAUACUGUUCUGGUUAAUUUUCAAGGAAAAAAUCUCUGUGGUGCUCCUUUAGGAAGAAACUGAUUUCUGUUGACAUAUUGUAUAGUCAGACAAAGACCAUACACACAUAUCAGCCAAAUUGUGGUUAAAAAAAAAAGGAGUCAUUUUAAUAUUUACAGGGCUCCCUGGCAGUAUGCUGCUUUUGUGUUUGAUGCCCAAACUUCUUCAGUCAAUGUAAUUCCCUAACACCUGUGUUGAGAUCUGCUAACUUGUAAAAGUAGCAUGGACCCGUUUCCAUGUUGCCUUUUUCUAAGAAGACUUGAACAUGUUUGCUCAGCUUUGCACCGCACCAGCCUUGUACUGUGAUAGGAAUUAACUUAUGAUUUUCUUCAAAUCUAAAGCCCACUUAAUUGUCCCUUAAAUGAGAGCCUAAUUGCCUGUAAGGAGCCUGUUGU